GAUGACUCCCACCAAGGAAACUACUGCUGUGUUUAUAAGAAUUAUGUUUUCUCUCAUAACUUCUCCUCUGAGAGUGAGCUCCUCUCUCUAACCGUAACAGCCUCUCCUCUGCCAGCUGUCAUCAUCAGACUGGUCAUAGUGCUGCUGACCACCACAGCUACGUUUCUGCUCUGCAAAUCAAGAGUCAGGUCAGUAGGUGUCAACAGAGAGCUGGAUAGCGGUGCGUGGAGGGGUUGCCCCUGCAUCCCAGGAGGGAGGGCUGCUGGCAGAGAGAGGUGAGAGCAGCCCAGAGGACAGGAGGAAGAGGACGAGUAGGAGGCAAGUCUUUGAACACACUGCCCAAGAUCAGGUUACACACACAUCUUCAGAAUAAGCUACUUAAGAUAUAGGUCACUUCCACUGACUAAUUUCUGAGUAAUUUCCACAAACUGCGGAAAUUGACAUUAGUCGGGUGGGGGGGAUGGUGCAUUUCUAACCUUUUUAAUAUCUCUCAAGUUUGUCCACACACACAAACAUACACACAGAUUUUCAGAAUAAUCAAUGUAAAGAUAUAGGUCAUUUCCACAGUUCUGAGUACAGUAUGUCCUGAGUCAUUUCCUGUAUAUAAAACCCUGAUACUAGCUGGGACUGGUGGGGGUGUGAGAAAGAAAGGUGGAGUAGAGAAAAUGUAUAUGAUGGAAAAAAAUGAUACGUGAUUUUAAUUUCAUAUUUUGGCAACUUUCUCAUCGAUAUUUACUCAUAACUCUUUUCUUGAAUUACAGAUUUGUACACAUGUUGCAGUUUAGUGCUGCUUUGCAUAACUAAUGUAUCCUAUAUCCCAUAACCUGUGUUUUUACGAAUUUAUGGCUGUGUCACAAAUGUCACCCUAUUUUGACCAGUGCCCUAUAGUGCAGUAUGUAUGGAAAGUGCACUAAAUCAAAAAUUGAUUGAUGUAGAAAAUAAUUA